rnacentral:rRNA from 1 species
UACGUAGGGUGCAAGCGUUGUCCGGAAUUAUUGGGCGUAAAGAGCUCGUAGGCGGUCUGUUGCGUCGGCUGUGAAAACCCGGGGCUCAACUCCGGGCCUGCAGCCGAUACGGGCAGACUAGAGUUCGGCAGGGGAGACUGGAAUUCCUGGUGUAGCGGUGAAAUGCGCAGAUAUCAGGAGGAACACCGGUGGCGAAGGCGGUUCUCUGGGCAUGACCUGACGCUGAGGAGCGAAAGUGUGGGGAGCGAACAGG